rnacentral:rRNA from 1 species
UACGUAGGUGACAAGCGUUGUCCGGAUUUACUGGGCGUAAAGAGCGCGCAGGCGGUCGAUCAAGUCGAGUGUGAAAGCCCCCGGCUCAACUGGGGAGGGUGAUUCGAUACUGAUCGACUCGAAGGCAGGAGAGGGUAGUGGAAUUCCCGGUGUAGUGGUGAAAUGCGUAGAUAUCGGGAGGAACACCAGUGGCGAAGGCGACUACCUGGCCUGUUCUUGACGCUGAGGCGCGAAAGCUAGGGGAGCAAACGGG